rnacentral:rRNA from 1 species
AUUGAACGUUGGCGGCAGGCCUAACACAUGCAAGUCGAGCGAGCGGCGGAAGGGUGAGUAAUGUCUGGGAAACUGCAUGAUGGAGGGGGAUAACUACUGGAAAAGGUAGCUAAUACCGCAUACCAUCAGAUGUGCCCAGAUGGGAAUAGCUAGUAGGUGGGGUAACGGCUCACCUAGGCGACGAUCCCUAGCUGGUCUGAGAGGAUGACCAGCCACACUGGAACUGAGACACGGUCCAGACUCCGACGGGAGGCAGCAGUGGGGAAUAGUGCACAAUGGGCGCAAGCCUGAGGCAGCCAUGCCGCGUGUGUGAAGAAGGCCUUCGGGUUGUAAAGCACUUUCAGCGGGGAGGCGUUACCCGCAGAAGAAGCACCGGCUAACUCCGUGCCAGCAGCCGCGGUAAUAC